AUUGAACGCUGGCGGCAUGCCUUACACAUGCAAGUCGAACGGCAGCGGGGGAGAAGCUUGCUUUUCCUGCCGGCGAGUGGCGAACGGGUGAGUAAUACAUCGGAACGUGCCCUGUAGUGGGGGAUAACUAGUCGAAAGAUUAGCUAAUACCGCAUACGACCUGAGGGUGAAAGUGGGGGACCGCAAGGCCUCAUGCUAUAGGAGCGGCCGAUGUCUGAUUAGCUAGUUGGUGGGGUAAAGGCCUACCAAGGCGACGAUCAGUAGCUGGUCUGGGAGGACGAUCAGCCAACCUGGGACUGAGACACGGCCCAGACUCCUACGGGAGGCAGCAGUGGGGAAUUUUGGACAAUGGGCGAAAGCCUGAUCCAGCAAUGCCGCGUGUGUGAAGAAGGCCUUCGGGUUGUAAAGCACCUUUGUCCGGAAAGAAAUGGCUCUGGUUAAUACCUGGGGUCGAUGACGGUACCGGAAGAAUAAGGACCGGCUAACUACGUGCCAGCAGCCGCCGUAA
rnacentral:rRNA from 1 species